UACGAAGGGGGCUAGCGUUGUUCGGAAUUACUGGGCGUAAAGGGCGCGCAGGCGGCUCUUCAAGUCAGAUGUGAAAGCCCCGGGCUCAACCUGGGAACUGCAUUUGAGACUGGAGAGCUUGAGUUCGGGAGAGGAGAGCGGAAUUCCCAGUGUAGAAGGUGAAAUUCGUAGAUAAUUGGGAAGAACACCGGUGGCGAAGGCGGCUCUCUGGACCGAUACUGACGCUGAGGCGC
rnacentral:rRNA from 1 species